AAACUACGCCAUCAAUUUUCUUAACUCUUCUAAUUAUACUCUCCAAUUCCAAGCACAAAACCCUCGUUUACUAGUCCCAACUUUCUCCAGUACGGCACCGGAUAUUAUGGUCUUGACUUAGCUGCAAAUUUUACAGUGCAUUCAGGCAUCGAUGAGGAACACUCCGUUGUAUCCGAAAUACGGGACGGAGGACAGUCAUGACUUCGAUCCUCAACUGGAUUUCGCUGUGUUCCUGAUGGAAGCCAGAAAUUACGAGUUCAAAGUGAACAACAUUAUGGUAGACCAACUGUCGGCUUUAGGGAAUGCUGGGCAGUCGGAUGAAGGACUGAAACACAAGAAGUCUUGGAGGAAUUCAUUUUUGUUUUCGUGGCUCAAAGCUGAGAAGAAGGGCAACAAAUGUAGUCGCAUGGAGACAGAGCCGUCCGAAAAGUCUUGCUCUGUUCCCACAUUGCGUCGUGGACAUUCUGGUCCGAUGUUUGGGAAGAGAGGUAGGACGGGUAGUAACACGCUUUGGCGACAGAACUCUGGGCCGCUAACCUCGCUAUUUAAAAGGACCGAGGAGCAGAUGCCGUAUAUAUGUCUUGACAAGCUCAACAGCAAUUUUCAUGCUGCUGAAUCUUAUGGACCUGUUUACUUGGUAACAUAGUAGUUCUUACACUUGACACUUGAGUUCAGAUCAAUGUAACCUUUCAGAAUUACUAUCUUGGUUAUAAACAAAUGCAACCAAGAUUUUCGUUUGUUAUUUGUAUUGUAAUAAGAUAAGCAAAUUGAAGGUCUGAGUCCUGGAUGUAUGAACACAACAGAAUUUUCAAGUCCUGAAUAUAAAUAGACGUAUGGGAAAAGAGUUUCUGAAGAUCA